AAAAAAGAAAAUGGAACAAUGAUUUCUUUUCCUUUUAUUUUUAACCUCUCUCGAUAUCGAUUUUAUUUUAUUUAUUUACUUUGUUUUUGCUGUUUUCGA
rnacentral:ribozyme from 1 species